CAGUUUAAAAUUAUGAUUUUUUGGCGGGAAAAAUGUAGAGGGAGCUGCGAUCGUUUGAACAGAACCGGAAAGGCGGAAAACGAUUUCUCUCUCGGCCAUUUGCAUUGUGAUCGUUGCAGGAGGUUCAUCGUCUCGCGAAAUAAGCUUGACGAACAAUGGUGAACGGAAGGAUACCUUCUGUCUUUUCGAAGACAUAUGUAACGCCCAGGAGGCCUUAUGAGAAAGCGCGUCUUGAUCAAGAAUUGCGAAUUAUCGGAGAAUAUGGUCUCCGAAAUAAGAGAGAAGUUUGGAGAGUUAAAUACACUUUAGCAAAAAUCCGUAAAGCUGCUCGUGAGCUUUUGACCUUGGAAGAGAAAGAUCAAAAGCGUCUUUUUGAAGGAAAUGCGCUACUUCGUCGUUUAGUACGCAUUGGAGUAUUGGAUGAAUCCAGAAUGAAGCUCGAUUACGUACUUGGUUUAAAGAUUGAAGACUUUUUGGAGAGACGUUUACAGACUCAAGUUUUCAAACUUGGUUUGGCCAAGUCGAUUCAUCAUGCUCGUGUUCUCAUUAGGCAACGCCACAUUAGAAACUGCUCGUGAGGGCGAUACUGAUCGUGAAAAAUAUGGUGAUCGAGCGUUUAAUUUGCUGGACCAAUAAAAAUUGGUCCAUGCUUUUCAGGCAGACCACUUAAACAUUAAAAGUUUAACGUCUGACAAGUGUGGAGUUUAUGUUGCCCUUUGAUCUUGAGUGAGGAAACAAGUGGUGAACAUACCUUCUUUCGUGGUGAGACUUGAUUCUCAGAAGCAUAUUGACUUCUCAUUGAAAUCGCCGUUCGGUGGUGGUCGCCCUGGACGUGUAAAGAGGAAGAAUAUGCGCAAGGGAAGUGGUGGAGCAGCAGCUGAAGAAGAAGAAGAUUAAUUUAAACAAUGAAAUUGGAGAAUUCUUUAUAAU